rnacentral:rRNA from 1 species
AACGAACGCUGGCGGCAUGCCUAACACAUGCAAGUCGAACGAGAUCUUCGGAUCUAGUGGCGCACGGGUGCGUAACGCGUGGGAAUCUGCCCUUUGCUUCGGAAUAACAGUGAGAAAUUACUGCUAAUACCGGAUGAUGUCUUCGGACCAAAGAUUUAUCGGCAAGGGAUGAGCCCGCGUAGGAUUAGGUAGUUGGUGGGGUAAUGGCCUACCAAGCCGACGAUCCUUAGCUGGUCUGAGAGGAUGAUCAGCCACACUGGGACUGAGACACGGCCCAGACUCCUACGGGAGGCAGCAGUGGGGAAUAUUGGACAAUGGGCGAAAGCCUGAUCCAGCAAUGCCGCGUGAGUGAUGAAGGCCUUAGGGUUGUAAAGCUCUUUUACCAGGGAUGAUAAUGACAGUACCUGGAGAAUAAGCUCCGGCUAACUCCAUGCCAGCCGCCGCGGUAACAC